rnacentral:rRNA from 1 species
CUUCCAGACUCCUACGGGAGGCAGCAGUGAGGAAUAUUGGUCAAUGGGCGCGAGCCUGAACCAGCCAAGUAGCGUGAAGGAUGACUGCCCUACGGGUUGUAAACUUCUUUUAUAAAGGAAUAAAGUGAGGCACGUGUGCCUUUUUGUAUGUACUUUAUGAAUAAGGAUCGGCUAACUCCGUGCCAGCAGCCGCGGUAAUACGUAGGUGGCAAGCGUUGUCCGGAAUUACUGGGUGUAAAGGGAGCGCAGGCGGGAAGCCAAGUCAGCUGUGAAAACUACGGGCUUAACUUGUAGACUGCAGUUGAAACUGGUUUUCUUGAGUGAAGUAGAGGUUGGCGGAAUUCCGAGUGUAGCGGUGAAAUGCGUAGAUAUUCGGAGGAGCACCGAUGGCGAAGGCGGCCAACUGGGCUUUAACUGACGCUGAGGCUCGAAAGUGUGGGGAGCAAACAGGAUUAGAUACCCGCGUACA